rnacentral:rRNA from 1 species
AUGAACAACCCGAACAUGUUCAUCAAACGAGAGGAGACAGAUGAGCAAAAGGAGGCCACUGAAGAAGGGCAACAUGUUCUUCAAACGGCAGACAUCAACGUCAAAGAAGACCAAGCGCCAAAAUAUUCACUCACCGAAAAAACCGCAGCAGAGACAGCAGCAGUGACAACGACUGAAAAGCUCAACAAAGAACAAGCACAACAGUCAGCAGCAGCAACGAGAACAGCAGUAGAGACAACAGAAACAGCUACGACUGAGAAGGUCAGUGUCAUCCAGGUCGAGGCUGAAAAACAAGACGGAAAAUACUACCAGCAAGACAUGACGGUUGACAAGGAAAAACAUGAUGCUAAGAAAACCAUAGACAACUCAAUUAAGGAUGGGGCAGAAACGGAACAAAAGGGUACAAUGGAGGAAGGGGGCAAAGAUAGCGAUUCCGUCAACAAAGCCAUCGUAGACCUAUACAACAUUGUAUGCAAGCCAUGGACAUAG